rnacentral:rRNA from 1 species
UACGGGGGGAGCAAGCGUUGUUCGGAUUUACUGGGCGUAAAGGGCGCGUAGGCGGCCACCGCAAGUCGACUGUGAAAUCUCCGGGCUUAACCCGGAAAGGUCAACUGAUACUGUGCGACUAGAGUGCAGAAGGGGCAACUGGAAUUCUCGGUGUAGCGGUGAAAUGCGUAGAUAUCGAGAGGAACACCUGCGGCGAAGGCGGGUUGCUGGGCUGACACUGACGCUGAUGCGCGAAAGCCAGGGGAGCGAACGGG